rnacentral:rRNA from 1 species
GCAAAGACGGUGCCAGCAGCCGGGGUAGUGCUAGGGGAGGGAUGGGUGUCCGGAGUGAUUGGGCGUAAAGAACGGGGAGGCGGCGUGAUAAGCCGGUGGGGAAACCCCCAAGCGCAACUUGGGGCAGCCAUUCGGAACUGUAAUGGCUAGAGUCUGGUAGGGGAACACGGAAUUCCUGGUGUAGCGGUGAAAUGCUUAGAUAUCAGGAGGAACACCAGUGGCGAAGGCGGUGUUCUGGGCCAGUACUGACGCUGAGGCGCGAAAGCGUGGGGAGCGAACAGGAUUAAUACCCCAGUAGUC